rnacentral:rRNA from 1 species
CCUACGGGUGGCAGCAGUGGGGAAUCUUCCGCAAUGGGCGAAAGCCUGACGGAGCAACGCCGCGUGAUAGAAUGAAGGCCUGCGGGUUGUAAAGAUCUGUUGACAGGGACGAAGAAGCAAUGCGAAUAGGUUUGUGUAUGACGGUACCUGGUGAGAAAGCGACGGCGAACUACGUGCCAGCAGACGCGGUAAUACGUAGGGAGCAAGCGUUGGCCGGAAUUACUGGGCGUAAAGGGCGCGUAGGUGGGCGCUUAAGUCAGGUGUGAAAACUCCGGGCUCAACCUGGAGACUGCACUUGAAACUGGGUGUCUUGUGGGCAGUAGAUGAAAGUGGAAUUCCUUGUGUCGCGGU